UGGGGAAUUUUGCACAAUGGGGGAAACCCUGAUGCAGCGACGCCGCGUGAUUUAGAAGGCCUUCGGGUUGUAAAACUCUUUUCUAUGGGAAGAAAAUCACAGUACCAUAGGAAUAAGGACCGGCUAAUUACGUGCCAGCAGCCGCGGUAAUACGUAAGGUCCGAGCGUUGUCCGGAAUCAUUGGGCGUAAAGGGUACGUAGGCGGGUAAGCAAGUUAGAAGUGAAAUCCUAUAGCUCAACUAUAGUAAGCUUUUAAAACUGCUCAUCUUGAGGUAUGGAAGGGAAAGUGGAAUUCCUAGUGUAGCGGUGAAAUGCGCAGAUAUUAGGAGGAAUACCGGUGGCGAAGGCGACUUUCUGGACAUAACCUGACGCUGAGGUACGAAAGCGUGGGUAGCAAACAGG
rnacentral:rRNA from 1 species